GACGAACGCUGGCGGCGUGCUUAAUACAUGCAAGUCGAACGGAAAGGCCCUGCUUUUGUGGGGUGCUCGAGUGGCGAACGGGUGAGUAACACGUGAGUAACCUGCCCUUGACUUUGGGAUAACUUCAGGAAACUGGGGCUAAUACCGGAUAGGAGCUCCUGCUGCAUGGUGGGGGUUGGAAAGUUUCGGCGGUUGGGGAUGGACUCGCGGCUUAUCAGCUUGUUGGUGGGGUAGUGGCUUACCAAGGCUUUGACGGGUAGCCGGCCUGAGAGGGUGACCGGCCACAUUGGGACUGAGAUACGGCCCAGACUCCUACAGGAGGCAGCAGUGGGGAAUAUUGCACAAUGGGCGGAAGCCUGAUGCAGCAACGCCGCGUGCGGGAUGACGGCCUUCGGGUUGUAAACCGCUUUCGCCUGUGACGAAGCGUGAGUGACGGUAAUGGGUAAAGAAGCACCGGCUAACUACGUG
rnacentral:rRNA from 1 species